rnacentral:rRNA from 1 species
UACGUAGGGGGCAAGCGUUAUCCGGAUUUACUGGGUGUAAAGGGAGCGUAGACGGCAGCGCAAGUCUGGAGUGAAAUGCCGGGGCUCAACCCCGGAACUGCUUUGGAAACUGUGCAGCUAGAGUGCGGGAGAGGUAAGCGGAAUUCCUAGUGUAGCGGUGAAAUGCGUAGAUAUUAGGAGGAACACCAGUGGCGAAGGCGGCUUACUGGACCGAAACUGACGUUGAGGCUCGAAAGCGUGGGGAGCAAACAGG